CGGAGCGGCGCGGCGCAGCGGCCUCGCAAGUCCCUUGGAAGAGGGCGCCGGAGAGGGUGAGAGCCCCGUGGCGAGGCGCGGUGUGUUGUGCGAUUUGCGUUCGAAGAGUCGGGCUGUUUGAGAUCGCAGCACAAAGCGGGAGGUAAAUUUCUUCCAAAGCUAAGUAUGGGCGGGAGGCCGAUAGUGGAAAAGUAGAGCGAUCGAAAGAUGAAAAGAACUUUGAAAAGAGAGUGAAAAGGACCUGAAAUUGUUGAAAGGGAAGAGAUUCGCGGCAGUGGGAACGGUGCGGCGUGGCGAACAACGCGACGCGGCACGGUCUGCAUGGCUUGCCGGCGCCGGAGACGGUCCGCGGAACAAGGUAGGCAUCUCUGCGGAGUGCUGUUAUAGAUCUGGGGACGGUGCGGGCGCGCGGGGAGCGAGGAGGUUAGGAGAUGCAGGCGAAAUGGCGCGA
rnacentral:rRNA from 1 species